GUAGGUGAACCUGCGGAAGGAUCAUUAACACGUUUCACAACGUAUCAACCAAACCGCGAACUAUGAACGUCUUUUUUAUUCAUGUUUUGGGAGGGCUGUUGGCGGGACGGACAUGGCUGUCAUGGCUAUGUUGAACAGGAAGUGGUGCGCAAGCGCUAUCUCUCUGUGUACGACCAGCCACUCCCCUUCUAUGAACAUGUCUUAUUUAACCCAAACCCAUUUGUUUAUUCAUUUAUUCUUAAAGAUACGC
rnacentral:misc_RNA from 1 species